CAGUCGCCGCGGGAAUACAGAGGAUGCAAGCGUUAUCCGGAAUGAUUGGGCGUAAAGCGUCUGUAGGUGGCUUUUCAAGUCCGCCGUCAAAUCCCAGGGCUCAACCCUGGACAGGCGGUGGAAACUACCAAGCUGGAGUACGGUAGGGGCAGAGGGAAUUUCCGGUGGAGCGGUGAAAUGCGUAGAUAUCGGAAGGAACACCUGAGGCGAAGGCGGCUACCUGGCUUGACACUGACGCUGAGGCACGAAAGCGUGGGGAGCAAACAGGAUUAGAGACCCCCGUAGUCCCUGUCUCUUAUAC
rnacentral:rRNA from 1 species